UCCGCCGUAGCUCAGUUGGUAGAGCAUCGGACGCAGAAUUCGAAGGUUGUGGGUCCGGAUCCCACCGACGGAA